GGAGAGGUGUCCGAGUGGUCGAAGGUCCAUGACUCGAAAUCAUGCGUACCCAAAAGGUACCGAGGGUUCGAAUCCCUCCCUCUCCGCCA
rnacentral:tRNA from 1 species